rnacentral:rRNA from 1 species
AUUGAACGCUGGCGGCAGGCCUAACACAUGCCAGUCGAGCGGAUGAAGGGAGCUUGCUCCUGGAUUCAGCGGCGGACGGGUGAGUAAUGCCUAGGAAUCUGCCUGGUAGUGGGGGAUAACGUCCGGAAACGGGCGCUAAUACCGCAUACGUCCUGAGGGAGAAAGUGGGGGAUCUUCGGACCUCACGCUAUCAGAUGAGCCUAGGUCGGAUUAGCUAGUUGGUGGGGUAAAGGCCUACCAAGGCGACGAUCCGUAACUGGUCUGAGAGGAUGAUCAGUCACACUGGAACUGAGACACGGUCCAGACUCCUACGGGAGGCAGCAGUGGGGAAUAUUGGACAAUGGGCAAAAGCCUGAUCCAGCCAUGCCGCGUGUGUGAAGAAGGUCUUCGGAUUGUAAAGCACUUUAAGUUGGGAGGAAGGGCAGUAAGUUAAUACCUUGCUGUUUUGACGUUACCAACAGAAUAAGCACCGGCUAACUUCGUG